UGUAUGUAUAUAUAUAUAUUAGCACAACAGAUUGUAAUCUAAAUAGGUUUGGCAGCCAACGCUUUCAUUUUCACAUUGGACUGCAUGAAUAGAAAUAUUUCACCUAAAAUACCACUCUGUCAUUCUGGCAUGUGUAUAUCCGUGAAAUACAGGCAGAGUAAAAGAAACCCUGUUUAAGUAAGAAAAAAAGUAAAGUGUUAUUUGAGAGAUAAGGUUGAUGGCUGGAUUAAGAAAUAAUUAUUAACAAUUUUAAGUUUUUCAUUAUUUAUUUCUUUGAUUUAUAAAUGUGUUUCUGGAAGAAUUUACUUUUCUCUUUUUAAUAGUUUCAGAAUGUAAAAGAUUUACAAACAGAAUGCUGUUCAACGUGCAAUUGUUAACACAAUCUAAUGCUAGUCACAGCAUAUACAGCAAAUAUUACACAAGAAGAAGAAAUAAAAUAAACUCAAUUAUAUAAAGAUAAAAGGGUCUAGCAGAAGUUUAUUGAUGAUCAAAAUGUUGUUUUUAAUUUAUUAUUAAUAUUAAUUUAAACAGAGGUAUAAAUCCAGAGCGGUGGGGGGACUUUUAUUUUGCUAUUGUGUUAUUACAUCAUGAAGCCGCGUCGCGUUCCCGCGUCUGCUGUGAAGGAAGAAGAAUCGACUGUUUUUAGACAGUAAAGUGUUUAAAUUGACAAGAAAGCGCUGCGGUAAUUAUCACAUUUUUAAAAUGUGAUAUUAUAAAGCUUCAGCUGACAGCUCUGCGAGUUAUUUAGUGCGAGUACAGCGCAUUUAUACACAGAAAAGCAGCAGAAACGCUUAUGUAGCUCUCUGAAUCGUCAUUCAGCUCAUCACAAACACCAAUUCACACACUAUCAGCAGAUGUGCUUCAACACCAGCAGAAGGAUGUGAUCAUCUCCAGAGCUCUGGAUGAAGUUCAGCCUGCUAUUAACUCCUGCUGAAGCAACUGUAAAGAUGGCGUUUAUUAAACAGGAGAGCGAAGACAUCAGGAUUGCAGACGUGUUCACACUGAAACGGGAAGAUCCUAAGAGGACUGAAGACACAUUCCGAGUCAAACAUGAAGAUCCCGAGCAGCAAACAGGUUGGCUUUCAUUCUCAAAGAUCAGCUCAAGUGAUCCUCAUUCAGAUCUGCAGAUCUACUCUAAUUAAGGAUGUUAAUGGAGAAUGUCAUAUGAUGAGCGCCUCAUUACAGUGAAGAAAUGUUUGCAAUCCUAUUUAUAAAAUAAAAUUACUGUAUAGUUUAAGCAUUGCUGAAUAACGGGAGUGACAAAAAACAAUGAGAGAUAAAUACAAUGACGUAAAAUUGAAUAAAACACUGUGAUAAUUUAAUAAUAUAUUAUAAUGCAACAUCUCAAUGCUCUCUAGCAAAGUUUAAACUGCACAGUCAUUUCAAUCUGUUUUAGUCAAACACUUUGAACUAAUUUUAAGCCCUCGUAAAAACGGGAUUAAGACUUUUUAAUACAUUUUAAGGGCCUUAAUUUGAUCAUUAUUGAUUGAUCAACUUGUAAUCCUUUUUAAGACCCCGCGGAC